rnacentral:rRNA from 1 species
UACGAAGGGGGCGAGCGUUGUUCGGAUUUACUGGGCGUAAAGGGCGCGUAGGCGGGAUGGCAAGUCGGUCGUGAAAUCCCUCGGCUCAACUGAGGAGCGUCGAUCGAAACUGCCGUUCUUGAGGGUUGCAGAGGAGACUGGAAUUCCCGGUGUAGCGGUGAAAUGUGUAGAGAUCGGGAGGAACACCGGUGGCGAAGGCGGGUCUCGGGGCAACUCCUGACGCUGAGGCGCGAAAGCGUGGGGAGCAAACGGG